UACCACACGUUGGGAUACUUAAUUGACCCUCUCGACUUGUUAAUCGCUUAGUACUCGGUCCAGGAGUUGGAAGUAGUUUCUGGUGUUUAUAAUCAUCCUGGCGGCCGUGCGUAGCGCUGACCUUAGAGGUGGGCUAUACUGCGGCAGGCAGUGGCACGGUGUACCAAGUGACACCCGGAUGAUGGGCUUGGUAACCUUGCGCACAUCGUUUGAGGCCGUGGCGGAAACCUCGGCCGGACUUCCGUGCGGUUACUCUCAGAUAGACGAUAGACCUGGACCAAGUAUUAGCGUGGUUAACGGUCGUGACCGACUCCCUCGUUGGGCUUCCACUUGAAGAUUGCCGAGGUGCAUGACCUGCACAUGGCGAUAAGUGGCGAGAGCGUGUGUGACGAAGUACACCCCUGCUGGGUUAUGAUCUAUUCGAAUAGCCGUGUCCGCGGAUAUGGACUUCUUGGAGACAUAUGUUGUUCAUAGAUAACUUCAAUGGCUACUCAUAAAAUUGUCAAGAUAAAUGUGAGUGUCGUGGACGGCAUUUUCGUAUGGAGACGGAAUGAAUCCACGAUAGAGUAUUGUUGUGGUGAUAGUGGACUCGUGUACGAGAAAUCAAGUUGUCAAAAUUUAUUUUAAAAUACAAGUUGUUUAUCCACGAGUCAAAUGCUAGCUUUCCGCAUGAAACCCCACAAUUUCUUAUUGAUACAUUGCAUUAGUAGAUAGUUAUCCUAAAGUCUUGCUGAGUACCUCCGUACUCAUGUUUGUUUAAUAAUUAUUAAUGACCCUAAUGAAGGGUUCUUUCUAGACAUCGACGAUGAUGAGUAGCUGGUGUCCCAGCUACGAUCUGGCCCUAGAUUGGGUCUGUAGUAUAGUCAGGCCAUGUGCCUUCUAGUCUCACCUGUCUGUACUCAGACAGUUUAAUCACUUCCGCUGGCUUGUAACUGAAUGACUGCUAUGAUGGGUCAUGAGACCCUUAGUGUGUAAUAUUAUGUGUGUGGCUCUUCCGAGCCUCUUAAAUAAAGCUUCUAUGUUUAUGGUUAUGUUGUGAUGCCAUCGAUGUAUCUAUACAUAUCGGUAUGCCAUGCGUACGUGUGUCNNNN
rnacentral:lncRNA from 1 species